GCCUCGGUAGCUCAGCCUGGCUAGAGCGCUUCCUUGGUAAGGAAGAGGUCGCGGGUUCGAAUCCCGCCCGAGGCU
rnacentral:tRNA from 1 species